GGGGAUUUAGCUCAGCGGUAGAGCGCUUGCCUAGCAAGUGCGAGGCCCUGGGUUCGGUCCCCAGCUCCG
rnacentral:tRNA from 1 species